rnacentral:rRNA from 1 species
UACGUAGGGACCAAGCGUUGUUCGGAUUUACUGGGCGUAAAGGGCGCGUAGGCGGCCCUCCAAGUCGGGCGUGAAAGCCCACGGCUCAACCGUGGAAUUGCGCUCGGGACUGCCGGGCUAGAGGACGGGAGAGGAGCGCGGAAUUCCCGGUGUAGCGGUGAAAUGCGUAGAGAUCGGGAGGAAGGCCGGUGGCGAAGGCGGCGCUCUGGAACGUUUCUGACGCUGAGGCUCGAAAGCGUGGGGAGCAAACAGG